AAGACCUUGCGCUUUUGGAGCGGCCGAUGCCUGGUUAGCUUGUUGGUAAGGUAAAAGCUUACCAAGGCUUCGAUCAGUAGCUGGUCUGAGAGGACGACCAGCCACACUGGGACUGAGACACGGCCCAGACUCCUACGGGAGGCAGCAGUGGGGAAUUUUGGACAAUGGGGGCAACCCUGAUCCAGCCAUGCCGCGUGAGUGAAGAAGGCCUUCGGGUUGUAAAGCUCUUUCAGCCGGAACGAAACGGUUACGGAUAACACCCGUGACUACUGACGGUACCGAAAGAAGAAGCACCGGCUAACUACGUGCCAGCAGCCGCGGUAAUACGUAGGGUGCGAGCGUUAAUCGGAAUUACUGGGCGUAAAGGGUGCGCAGGCGGUUUUGUAAGUCAGAUGUGAAAUCCCCGGGCUUAACCUGGGAACU
rnacentral:rRNA from 1 species